rnacentral:rRNA from 1 species
UACAGAGGUCUCAAGCGUUGUUCGGAUUCAUUGGGCGUAAAGGGUGCGUAGGUGGCGCGGAAAGUCGGGUGUGAAAUUUCGGAGCUUAACUCCGAAACUGCAUUCGAUACUUCCGUGCUUGAGGACUGGAGAGGAGACUGGAAUUCCUGGUGUAGCGGUGAAAUGCGCAGAUAUCAGGAGGAACACCGGUGGCGAAGGCGGGUCUCUGGGCCGGUACUGACGCUGAGGAGCGAAAGCGUGGGGAGCGAACAGG